CUUGCACGCUGGCGGCAGGCCUAACACAUGCCCGUCGAACGAGUGGCGGACGGGUGAGUCAUGUCUGGGCAACUGCCUGAUGGAGGGGGCUAACUACUGGAAACGUUAGCUAAUACCGCAUACCAUCUGAUGUGCCCAUAUGGGAUUAGCUAGUUGGUGGGGUAACGGCUCACCAAGGCGACGAUACCUAGCUGGUCUGCGAGGCUGACCAGCAACACUGGAACUGAGACACGGUCCAGACUACUACGGGAGGCAGCAGUGGGGAAUAUUGAAAAAUGGGCGCAAGCCUGAUGCAGCCAUGCCGCGUGUAGGAAGAAGGCCUUCGGGUUGUAAAGGACUUUCAGCGGGGAGGCGUUACCCGCAGAAGAAGCACCGGCUAACUCCGUGCCAGCAGCCGCGGUAAUUC
rnacentral:rRNA from 1 species